CCCCGAAUAGCUCAGCUGGAAGAGCGUUCGGCAGUAAACCGAAAGGUCACUUGUUCGAUCCAGGUUUCGGGGA
rnacentral:tRNA from 1 species